rnacentral:lncRNA from 1 species
GCGUUCUAUGCUGCAGUCGCUUCCCUCUGUCAUCUUCCUCUGCCUGGAACUUCGAGCUUUCAGACUUUGACACUUCCUUCCUUCUCUACACCAUAUAGACCAGAAAAGAAGCAGAUGACAAGAGAAAUCAGUAUCUGUGCCUGGCUGGAGGAAGGAAGCUUGUCAAGAUAUGCAGAGAGUUUUUACAGGAACACAGGUAAUGGUUUGUAUAUGCUCUGCCCACAGAGUGGCACUAUUUGGAGGUGUGGCCCUGUUGAAGUAGGUGUGUCACUGUUGGCUUUAAUACCCUAGUCUUAGCUGCCUGGAAGUCAGUAUUUUGCUAGCAGCCUUCAGAUGAAGAUGUAGAACUCUCAGCUUCUCCUGCACCAUGCCAGCCUGGAUGCUGCCAUGCUCCUGCCUUGAUGAUACUGGACUGAACCUCUGAACCUGUAAGCCAGCGCCAAUUAAAUAUUGUCCUUAUAAGAGUUGCCUUGGUCAUGGUGUCUGUUCACAGCAGUAAGCCCUAACUAAGACAGUGGGGUAGCUGGGAAAGAGUGGUCUAAAUGGGAAAGGAGAUAAACUCUGCCCGUUAAUGUUUGUUGGAUGUGAUUUACUAUUGUUUGACACUGUCUUUAGGGGUUUCUUUACAUUCGCAGUGAUGGGAACAGAACCAGAAUGGGGGACGUUGCUGGGGAGAAGGACUGCAAAGGUUAAACAGGUUGAGUUGUCUGGCAGCUCCAAGAACAGGAGUUUUCUUUGGGAACUAAGACUCACUGGAGGUAGCUGAAUGCAAGCAAAUUGCCUGGCUUGUUUGUAAUGAACAAACGUGGUACCUGUGGGAUCCCUUUGAGGGGGUCACUGGACUUAUACUUCAUUCAUCAUAAUUUCCCUGGGAAAUACACACUCCUCACAAUAUCCCCUGAGCAGACAGGUAAACUCCAUCUCACCAGAGCACCACCUGGUCCAGUCACUUGCUUAAACUCUGUUGACAAUGGUUCAGCAUUCUAGUGGAAGUAAGCCUAGCCUUGAAGUGACUCCAAAUGGGACACCUGUAUUCUUCUCUUUUGCUGGUGGGAGAAACCUGUGGUCUCUGGAGGUGAGCUUGGAAAUCAGUCAGUUCUCUCUGGUCCUGAUUUGAUAGAGGACCAUCCAUCCAUUCAUUGAGCUUUUUGAUUCUUUGACUUGGAAUGUUAUGGCUUGAAUAUGAACUAUCCUGGAAGGGCUCACAUGUUGAAUACUGGAUUCCAGCAAGUGUAACUCUUUUUGGGGGAUGAGUGAUAGUAAUUAUAGGAGAUGGGGCUAGCUGGAGGAAGGAGGUCACUGGGGAGAGUGCCUCAGGUGUUAUACCUGGUACUUGGGCCCUUGUCUCUUUGCUUCUCACUUGUCACCUGAGCAGACUUUGCCACACUGACUACCACUGUGAAGUUCUGUCUGGCCACAGGACCAUAAUCAACAGAAUUAAGACUGUGAACUGGUAUCUCUGUA